rnacentral:piRNA from 1 species
UGAUGGUAAAAGGGGCCAUGUCUGUCUUCU